GGGACACGUAUCGGAUUUACUGGGCGUAAGCGCGCGUAGGUGGUUAAUUAAGUCAAAUGUGAAAUCCCCGAGCUUAACUUGGGAAUUGCAUUCGAUACUGGUUAGCUAGAGUAUGGGAGAGGAUGGUAGAAUUCCAGGUGUAGCGGUGAAAUGCGUAGAGAUCUGGAGGAAUACCGAUGGCGAAGGCAGCCAUCUGGCCUAAUACUGACACUGAGGUGCGAAAGCAUGGGGAGCAAACAGGAUUAGAUACCCUGGUAGUCCAUGCCGUAAACGAUGUCUACUAGCCGUUGGGGGAUUUGAUCCUUUAGUGGCGCAGCUAACGCGAUAAGUAGACCGCCUGGGGAGUACGGUCGCAAGACUAAAACUCAAAUGAAUUGACGGGGGCCCGCACAAGCGGUGGAGCAUGUGGUUUAAUUCGAUGCAACGCGAAGAACCUUACCUGGCCUUGACAUAGUAGAGACUUUCCAGAGAUGGAUUGGUGCCUUCGGGAAUCUACAUACAGGUGCUGCAUGGCUGUCGUCAGCUCGUGUCGUGAGAUGUUGGGUUAAGUCCCGCAACGAGCGCAACCCUUUUCCUUACUUGCCAGCAUUUCGGAUGGGAACUUUAAGGAUACUGCCAGUGACAAACUGGAGGAAGGCGGGGACGACGUCAAGUCAUCAUGGCCCUUACGGCCAGGGCUACACACGUGCUACAAUGGUCGGUACAAAGGGUUGCUACACAGCGAUGUGAUGCUAAUCUCAAAAAGCCGAUCGUAGUCCGGAUCGCAGUCUGCAACUCGACUGCGUGAAGUCGGAAUCGCUAGUAAUCGCGGAUCAGAAUGCCGCGGUGAAUACGUUCCCGGGCCUUGUACACACCGCCCGUCACACCAUGGGAGUUUGUUGCACCAGAAGUAGGUAGUCUAACCGCAAAGGAGGACGCUUACCACGGUGUGGCCGAUGGACUGGGGGUGAGUCUAGGGGGCGCACAAAAAAAAAAAAAAAAA
rnacentral:rRNA from 1 species